rnacentral:rRNA from 1 species
UGAGGGAUUUUGCGCAAUGGAGGAAACUCUGACGCAGCGACGCCGCGUGCGGGACGAAGCCUUUCGGGGUGUAAACCGCUGUCAGUGGAGAAGAGAAUGGACGGUACCCACUGAGGAAGCCUCGGCUAACUACGUGCCAGCAGCCGCGGUAAGACGUAGGGGGCGAGCGUUGUCCGGAAUCACUGGGCGUAAAGAGCUCGUAGGCGGGGCUGCGCGUCGCGGAGUAAAUCCAUCUGCUUAACGGAUGGCUCAUCUGCGAUACGGCAGCUCUUGAGGACAGGAGAGGGAAGCGGAAUUCCGAGUGUAGCGGUGAAAUGCGUAGAGAUUCGGAGGAACACCGGUGGCGAAGGCGGCUUCCUGGCCUGAUUCUGACGCUGAGGAGCGAAAGCCAGGGGAGCGAACGGGAUUAGAUACCCCGGUAGUCC